AAAGCAUUUAUCAGAAACUUGAAAUCCCUUCUUGUGGUACAAACUCUGAGCCUGUUUCUGCAAGCAGAUGAACACAGUGUAUACUCUCAGUGUGGUCAGCAGAAGAGGUGUAUACAGUGUUUUCAAUGUCAAACCUACCAAUACAUCCCUCUAAUUAAACUAAACCAUUUCUUGAUGCAUCUGUAAUUCAUAGGUGUUCUGUGCAUUACUCCUCAUCAGGAAUGUUGGGGAAUGCAUUCGGAUUUUUAAUGUUAAUUGCUAGAAUGACCAAACUAAAGUAAUAUUCAUAUGGUAAUGUAAACUUUUUUAAAAAGUAGAAAUGCAUUACUGUAUACAGUGGAAAGCUAUUUAUUGUACCUCUGGGCUUAUUCCUCUAAAAAUCAUAGCGUAAAAAAAUCUUUGUCAAGCCUGAACUGAUGUAUAUAACUGAAAUAAUGUAAAGUUAUAUUUUCAUGUUUUUAUACUUAACAACAUGAUGGGAAUACAUAAUGUAUGAGUAUUUCAAUUCAGAUAAUAUUGAUUCGAUAAUACACAUUUCAGUUAAAAAAGCAGUAAUAAUAGUUUAAUAUCCAUGUUAACAGUACAUCAGUAUAUUGCUAUAUAAAGUAUGUCUGUGUGCAUUUAAGUGAAAAGUAGUCAAGAGUGAUGAAAGCUGUCCAAGGGUUUUUUAUUCAUUUUAUAUAAAAACUGUUAUGGAGCAACCAAAAUGUUUAUGAACUCAAACUUGUGUAAAUUUCAAAAUGUCCUUUUACUGUAGCUUUUUGUUUACAGUACAGUAUCUUAUUUUUUGCUUUGUUAAAUGAGUAACGGUACAAAGCUGGACACACACUUUCUAAGACAUUAACGUUCUCGUUUUUUCAUGUAUACUUAUAUGACAGAAAAUGCUUCUGAUUUUAUUUUUCAAUCUAACACAUGGCUUUUCUGGAGUGUUGUAUAAACUUCAAUCAUACAUAAAAGAUCUUCUUAAAAAAGGCAAAAGACCUUUAACGUCUGCUUAGUA